rnacentral:rRNA from 1 species
AGCGAACGCUGGCGGCAGGCUUAACACAUGCAAGUCGAACGGGCGUAGCAAUACGUCAGUGGCAGACGGGUGAGUAACGCGUGGGAACGUACCUUUUGGUUCGGAACAACCCAGGGAAACUUGGGCUAAUACCGGAUAAGCCCUUACGGGGAAAGAUUUAUCGCCGAAAGAUCGGCCCGCGUCUGAUUAGCUAGUUGGUGAGGUAACGGCUCACCAAGGCGACGAUCAGUAGCUGGUCUGAGAGGAUGAUCAGCCACAUUGGGACUGAGACACGGCCCAAACUCCUACGGGAGGCAGCAGUGGGGAAUAUUGGACAAUGGGCGCAAGCCUGAUCCAGCCAUGCCGCGUGAGUGAUGAAGGCCCUAGGGUUNUAAAGCUCUUUUGUGCGGGAAGAUAAUGACGGUACCGCAAGAAUAAGCCCCGGCUAACUUCGUGCCAGCAGCCGCGGU